rnacentral:rRNA from 1 species
UACGUAGGGGGCGAACGUUGCUCGGAAUUACUGGGCGUAAAGGGUGAGUAGGCGGCUGUGCAAGUCAGGGAUGAAAUCCCGCGGCUUAACCGCGGAACUGUCUUUGAAACUGCACGGCUUGAGGACAGUAGAAGAGAAUGGAAUUCCCGGUGGAGCGGUGAAAUGCGUAGAUAUCGGGAGGAACACCUGAGGCGAAAGCGAUUCUCUAUACUGCUCCUGACGCUGAGUCACGAAAGCCAGGGGAGCAAACGGG